rfam:Streptococcus thermophilus CNCM I-1630 Contig0320, whole genome shotgun sequence.
AAUGAUAGUUUGAGCACUUUUCAUUAUAGGUCAUAUGGGACUUUUUUUCUACACUAAAAAAGGCUCCAUAAUCUCUAAAGUGGAUUUACCCACUACAGAAAUUAUAGAGCC